rnacentral:rRNA from 1 species
UACGUAGGGGGCAAGCGUUGUCCGGAUUUAUUGGGCGUAAAGAGCGUGUAGGCUGCUUCGCAAGUCGGGUGUGAAAUCCCUGGGCUCAACCCAGGAAGUGCACUCGAAACUGGCAGGCUUGAGUACUGAAGAGGGUCGCGGAAUUCCCGGUGUAGAGGUGAAAUUCGUAGAUAUCGGGAGGAACACCAGUGGCGAAGGCGGCGACCUGGGCAGAUACUGACACUGAGGUGCGAAAGCGUGGGGAGCAAACAGG